rnacentral:rRNA from 1 species
CUACGGGCUUAACACAUGCAAGUCGAGGGGCAGCAUGGUCUUUGCUUGCUAAGGCCGAUGGCGACCGGCGCACGGGUGAGUAACACGUAUCCAACCUGCCGUCUACUCUUGGACAGCCUUCUGAAAGGAAGAUUAAUACAAGAUGGCAUCAUGAGUCCGCAUGUUCACAUGAUUAAAGGUAUUCCGGUAGACGAUGGGGAUGCGUUCCAUUAGAUAGUAGGCGGGGUAACGGCCCACCUAGUCUUCGAUGGAUAGGGGUUCUGAGAGGAAGGUCCCCCACAUUGGAACUGAGACACGGUCCAAACUCCUACGGGAGGCAGCAGUGAGGAAUAUUGGUCAAUGGGCGAGAGCCUGAACCAGCCAAGUAGCGUGAAGGAUGACUGCCUUAUGGGUUGUAAACUUCUUUUAUAAAGGAAUAAAGUCGGGUAUGGAUACCCGUUUGCAUGUACUUUAUGAAUAAGGAUCGGCUAACUCCGUGCCAGCAGCCGCGGUAAUACGGAGGAUUCGAGCGUUAUCCGGAUUUAUUGGGUUUAAAGGGAGCGUAGAUGGAUGUUUAAGUCAGUUGUGAAAGUUUGCGGCUCAACCGUAAAAUUGCAGUUGAUACUGGAUAUCUUGAGUGCAGUUGAGGCAGGCGGAAUUCGUGGUGUAGCGGUGAAAUGCUUAGAUAUCACGAAGAACUCCGAUUGCGAAGGCAGCCUGCUAAGCUGCAACUGACAUUGAGGCUCGAAAGUGUGGGUAUCAAACAGGAUUAGAUACCCUGGUAGUCCACACGGUAAACGAUGAAUACUCGCUGUUUGCGAUAUACGGCAAGCGGCCAAGCGAAAGCGUUAAGUAUUCCACCUGGGGAGUACGCCGGCAACGGUGAAACUCAAAGGAAUUGACGGGGGCCCGCACAAGCGGAGGAACAUGUGGUUUAAUUCGAUGAUACGCGAGGAACCUUACCCGGGCUUAAAUUGCAGAUGAAUUACGGUGAAAGCCGUAAGCCGCAAGGCAUCUGUGAAGGUGCUGCAUGGUUGUCGUCAGCUCGUGCCGUGAGGUGUCGGCUUAAGUGCCAUAACGAGCGCAACCCUUGUUGUCAGUUACUAACAGGUUCUGCUGAGGACUCUGACAAGACUGCCAUCGUAAGAUGUGAGGAAGGUGGGGAUGACGUCAAAUCAGCACGGCCCUUACGUCCGGGGCUACACACGUGUUACAAUGGGGGGUACAGAGGGCCGCUACCACGCGAGUGGAUGCCAAUCCCAAAAACCUCUCUCAGUUCGGACUGGAGUCUGCAACCCGACUCCACGAAGCUGGAUUCGCUAGUAAUCGCGCAUCAGCCACGGCGCGGUGAAUACGUUCCCGGGCCUUGUACACACCGCCCGUCAAGCCAUGGGAGCCGGGGGUACCUGAAGUGCGUAACCGCGAGGAGCGCCCUAGGGUAAAACUGGUGACUGGG